UGUGCAGGCGGGUUAUCAAGUGGUGUAUGAAAUCGCCCGGCUCAACCGGGCCAGGGUAUGCCAGACUGAUAACCUGGAGUGCGGGAGAGGGGCGUGGAAUUCCGGGUGUAGUGGUGAAAUGCGUAGAGAUCCGGAGGAACCCCAGAGGCGAAGGCGGCGCCCUGGCCCGACACUGACGCUCAGACACGACAGCAUGGGGAGCGAACGGGAUUAGAAACCCCGGUAGUCCAUGCCGUAAACGAUGCCAACUAGGCGCCGGGGGACUCAACCCCCUCGGUGCCGUAGCCAACGCGCUAAGUUGGCCGCCUGGGGAGUACGACCGCAAGGUUAAA
rnacentral:rRNA from 1 species